GUCGAGGGGACGUGGCUACAAAGCGCCGUUCUUAGGCCUUCCACUAUGUGCCCGGUGCCCGGUGCACUAAAAUAUAGCAGACUGCGUAUCGAUGCCCUUAUAAAAGAAUUUGGUACCGGCCUCACAAUGUGCGUUUGUAGCCCGUAGAAAAGCGGGACCCACACGUCCAUAAAAAAAUCGAGCAAGCCAACCUCUCCUCGAUCCUUCGCGCGAGUUCCUUCUCGUCCGCCUCUGUCCAGAGAAAAUCCCCUUUCUCCUCCGACCAGAUCCAUCUCCAUCCUCACCUCCUCGUCUCGAUCCGGCGUGGAUCUAGGCCAAAUCGACACGCAUCUCCUACCCCAGGCAAGGUGUUCGUUGGCCCGCCGAGGCUCCGCGGCUAGUGGAGGUGAUGUGCGGCGGGGGACGAGCUCCAUGGACGAGGAGGAGGAAGCAGGAGGCGGAGGCGGGCCAGCAGUAUGUUGUGGCUAGCGCUGCCCGGACUACUGGACGGCCGGCUACUGCGCUGCCUCUACUACUUUCUACUACUAUGCUGCCUCUACUGGUCUCGAAGCAGCACAGGUGACAUGGGAGAACUAAAUCCAACUGGACUGUUCUCAACUCCUCUUGAACUAGUGCCUCUAGCAGAUCCAAGAAAAGGUAUGCAUCCAGCAGGAGAAGCUGGACUGCUACUUGAGCCUGCUCCAAAUGCUCCCGAAGGGUACUGCCCCAUGUUACCUUGGUAAGCAACACCAUCGUAGCCUAGAGGUUGUUUCGGCUCUGUGCAUCUGAAGGUGAGAAGGAGGAGUUCAUCAUGCUUGUGAAGCUUUGAGAAGAUGAGUGCUCCAUGUUUUGGGGGAGAGUUUCUCCAAGAUCUUCUUGUGCUUCUAUGAGCUUGUUCUGUACAUUUUAUAGACAUAUUCUCCAAACGGGCAGAUUUUCCUACUGCAGUGCAACGGUCAUCUGGAAAUUUUAGUGCUCUGGUUUGCUGUGAA